CCUACGGGAGGCAGCAGUGAGGAAUAUUGGUCAAUGGGCGCGAGCCUGAACCAGCCAAGCAGCGUGAAGGAUGACUGCCCUCCGGGUUGUAACCUUUUUUUAUAAAGGAAUAAAGUGAGGCACGUGUGCCUUCUGGUAUGUACUUUAUGUACAAGGCACGGCUAACUCCGUGCCAGCAGCCGCGGUAAUACGGAGGAUCCGAGCGUUAUCCGGAUUUAGUGGGUUUAAAGGGAGCGUAGAUGGGAUGUUAAGUCAGUUGUGAAAGUUUGCGGCUCAACCGUAAAAUUGCAAUUGAUACUGGCAGCCUUGAGUACAGUUGAGGAAGGCGGAAUUCGUGGUGUAGCGGUGAAAUGCGUAGAUAUCACGAAGAACACCGAUUGCGAAGGCAGCUUACUAAACUGCCACUGACAUUGAUGCUCGAAAGUGUGGGUAUCAAACAGGAUUAGAUACCCCUGUAGUC
rnacentral:rRNA from 1 species